GGAUGGCAGAAGGGGGCUUGCUGACUGUGCCUGGCAUUGCAAACGAGCCACGAACACCACUAAUCCUUAGGUCGUUUUUAUCAUGCACACAAAUCAUGAGAAGCUGAAGAAGUCACCAAAUGGCUCCAUGGACACUUACUUGCAGCCAAGACUGGAACCUGCAGUCAUGUGAAUUUAUGGGGUAGCUCAGUUCACCACUAAAAUUUUUAUGAGUCAGUAUCUUCUGGAAAAGUAAUGGGGAAAUUAAGCCCGAGAGGCCCAGAGCCCUAUCCUGCAGCAGCCGGAGGAGCUGGGACCUGCAGGGAUGCAGCCGAGGAGCGGCCAGCAGGCGUGGAAAACAGGAAAGUGGCUCCUGACGGAUGCGACCAGCACAGACUUGUGUUUUAGGGUGCUUCGUUAGUGCUGCCAAGUACCUGAGUAUGAGUCAAAUUUGUCACGUUGCUGCUAGUCUUGGGGAGCAGAAGGUUGUGAUUCAUGUCUCCUGAAUUUUUGCUCUGAAUAAGAUUAGUGCAGCCCAAUUAUCACCUAAUGAGUUGUAAGCAGCUCUUCCAGCCUGAUGCACAAGCCCAUAAACUUUCAGGGCUAAAGCUGCAGCCACAAGUGUUUUCUGUCAUCACCCUCAACAUCAUUCCCAGAAGGAAAAUAGAAGCAGUCACGUUCAGGGAGCCUCUGCCUCGCUGUCCUUAGGACUCACCCAGCCCUGAGAUAACUGGCUGAAGAGAUAACCAAAUGUUGUGCUGGGUUUCUAUAAAGCACGGGUGACCCUCAUUUCCACAUGCCUCUAUCCCCUUAAUUGCUUCUUCUCCUCCAACCUCUGAGCUUGUUAAGCCCAGUGGUUUUGCUCGGCACAUCACAAGCUGUUCCUGUUCUUGAAAAGAUUCAGUUAAAUGCCUUUUGCUGCUUUUGUAUUGGAAAUUUAUGCAAAAUUUAUAAACAAAAAAAGUCCUGAACAGAAAUCUCACUUUUUCUUCUAAAAAUAUUCAGAGCAGGACUUGCGGAACAUCAGGAAUAAUGACUCAAUCCAGCUAAAUUUUCAACAGUAAGGAGAAAAAAAGAACCUCUUGAGAACGGCACAUUGAGAAAUGACUACAUUAAAUAUAAAAAAGAAAAAGAGUGUGUAAAACAUCCUAACUUAUUAAAUUUCCUGCCA